UCCCUAGUGGCUCAGACAGUGAAGUGUCUGUCUACAAUGCAGGCGACCCAGGUUCGAACCCUGGGUAGGGAA
rfam:Ovis aries breed Texel chromosome 10, whole genome shotgun sequence.